UACGUAGGGUGCAAGCGUUGUCCGGAAUUAUUGGGCGUAAAGCGCUUGUAGGCGGUUUGUCGCGUCUGCUGUGAAAUUUCGGGGCUCAACCCCGAACUUGCAGUGGGUACGGGCAGACUAGAGUGUGGUAGGGGAGACUGGAAUUCCUGGUGUAGCGGUGAAAUGCGCAGAUAUCAGGAGGAACACCGAUGGCGAAGGCAGGUCUCUGGGCCACUACUGACGCUGAGAAGCGAAAGCAUGGGGAGCGAACAGG
rnacentral:rRNA from 1 species